rnacentral:rRNA from 1 species
AGAGUUCGAUCCUGGCUCAGGAUGAACGCUGGCGGCGCGCCUAACACAUGCAAGUCGAACGGCACCUAUCUUCGGGUAGAAGCGAGUGGCGAACGGCUGAGUAACACGUGGAGAACCUGCCCCCUCCCCCGGGAUAGCCGCCCGAAAGGACGGGUAAUACCGGAUACCCCCGGGCGCCGCAUGGCGCCCGGGCUAAAGCCCCGACGGGAGGGGAUGGCUCCGCGGCCCAUCAGGUAGACGGCGGGGUGACGGCCCACCGUGCCGACAACGGGUAGCCGGGUUGAGAGACCGACCGGCCAGAUUGGGACUGAGACACGGCCCAGACUCCUACGGGAGGCAGCAGUGGGGAAUCUUGCGCAAUGGGGGGAACCCUGACGCAGCGACGCCGCGUGCGGGACGGAGGCCUUCGGGUCGUAAACCGCUUUCAGCAGGGAAGAGUCAAGACUGUACCUGCAGAAGAAGCCCCGGCUAACUACGUGCCAGCAGCCGCGGUAAUACGUAGGGGGCGAGCGUUAUCCGGAUUCAUUGGGCGUAAAGCGCGCGUAGGCGGCCCGGCAGGCCGGGGGUCGAAGCGGGGGGCUCAACCCCCCGAAGCCCCCGGAACCUCCGCGGCUUGGGUCCGGUAGGGGAGGGUGGAACACCCGGUGUAGCGGUGGAAUGCGCAGAUAUCGGGUGGAACACCGGUGGCGAAGGCGGCCCUCUGGGCCGAGACCGACGCUGAGGCGCGAAAGCUGGGGGAGCGAACAGGAUUAGAUACCCUGGUAGUCCCAGCCGUAAACGAUGGACGCUAGGUGUGGGGGGACGAUCCCCCCGUGCCGCAGCCAACGCAUUAAGCGUCCCGCCUGGGGAGUACGGCCGCAAGGCUAAAACUCAAAGGAAUUGACGGGGGCCCGCACAAGCAGCGGAGCAUGUGGCUUAAUUCGAAGCAACGCGAAGAACCUUACCAGGGCUUGACAUAUGGGUGAAGCGGGGGAGACCCCGUGGCCGAGAGGAGCCCAUACAGGUGGUGCAUGGCUGUCGUCAGCUCGUGUCGUGAG